CACAACCCUGUGCGUUGCAAACACCAUGCUCUACCAACUGAGCUACAGGGAAGGCUGGUAGAAAUGCUUUUACUGUGUUUGUAUUAUUGACAUUGCCUGAGGACUCCUAUAGGGACUAGGCAGCUCGUGCUCAAAACCCAUCACCCCAAAAGAAGGGGUCUUGUGUCCCCUCAGCCUUGUCCAGCAGGAACAGAGAGUCUGAGACAUUCAAGGCUUGCCUGGGGAAGGAUACGCUGCUACUGUUACCAGAACGUGGCUGCAAAAUAUCUGUUGUGCAUCACCCAGGUCAGGCUCGGCCAGGGCGAUGCGUAUGUCUCUCAGAGCGCGCCAUGCGCUCCUUGGCCUGCUGGAUCUCCUCAGGAAGAGAGGGAAGGAAGCCACACUGGUGGUGGUAGACGAUGCCCACCCCGUACUGCAGCUGGGAAGACAGAUAGAGGGAGAAGCGAGGCUGGGGGAGACCGGGGCAGAGCGGAGCCACCUGGACCAUCACGUAGUCCAUGAUGUCCUCACUGUAAAAGAUAUACACAACCACUAGCUAUGAUCAGAGCCAUGACACAAUACAUCUAACUUAGCUAGCUAUCCAUGUUUCGUCUCGAAGUUUAGGGACCAUGUAGGUUGGUUAGCAUAACAUAUUCCCCUCUGUCUGUCAGACAUAGAAAGGAGAGAGGAAGGGUUGAGGAAGGGUUGAUGUCACCAUGUCUGCCCAACGUUACCCCUCAGAAGCUCUCUGCAUGUUAUCCUGAUCCCUUUGGUUGCUGUCAAACCGCAUGAUAAUAAAUACCAGAAUGUGUCUAAA